CUGCGGUACACUGACCGUACUAAGGUAGCAUAAUAAUUUGCCUUUUAAUUGGAGGCUAGUAUGAAUGGUUUGACGUGAAAUAUACUGUCUCAACUAUAUUUAGUAGAAUUUAACCUUUAGGUGAAGAGGCCUAAAUUUUGUGGGAAGACAAGAAGACCCUGUUGAGCUUUUAAUAUUUAUGUUAGUAAAGCCUAAGUUUUAUAUGAUGGUCACUACUCAUAAGUAUGUUGGUUGGGGCGACCGAGGAGUACAGAGCAACCUCCUUGUAAUGUAAAGAAUUUGUUAUUAACGAACCUGUAUUAUAGGUUAUUCGGUAGUUACCACAGGGAUAACAGCGUAAUUCUUUUGAAGAGUUCAUAUCGAAGAAAGAGAUUGCGACCUCGAUGUUGGAUUAAGGUGUCCUAAGGGUGAAGAAGCUC
rnacentral:rRNA from 1 species